GUGACUGUCUGCCUGAGUGUGACUGUCUGCCUGAGUGUGACUGUCUGCCUGAGUGUGUGUGUGUAUGUGUGUGGCUGUUUGCCUGUCUUUGUAUGUGUGGGUGUUUGCCUCGAAGUCAGUGACUGUCUGCCUGGGUGUCAGUGACUGUCUGCCUCUGUGUGUGCGCGCAUCUGCUAGUGAGGGAGUGUGUGUGUGUGUGUGUGUGCCUGCUAGUGAGUUUGUGUG